AACCACUAACCAGCCUGGAAACUGAUGAUUAGCCGUGGAUUAAAAAGCAAAACUGGUGUUUAGAGAUUUGCUAAACCAAACCAAACCAACUCACAAUAUUAUAAAAAGGCUGUCCCAUGUUGCCUAAACUAAUCUCAUUAUUAUAACGAUGACUCACUGAUCACCCAAUAAUCAUUAUGUUUUUGUCCUAAUCAUCAUAACA